rnacentral:rRNA from 1 species
CAGCAGCCACGGUAAUGCGAAGGGUGCAAGCGUUAAUCGGAAUUACUGGGCGUAAAGCGUGCGUAGGCGGUGAGUUAAGUCUGCUGUGAAAUCCCCGGGCUCAACCUGGGAAUGGCAGUGGAUACUGGCUCGCUAGAGUGUGUCAGAGGAUGGUGGAAUUCCCGGUGUAGCGGUGAAAUGCGUAGAGAUCGGGAGGAACAUCAGUGGCGAAGGCGGCCAUCUGGGACAACACUGACGCUGAGGCACGAAAGCGUGGGGAUCAAACAGGAUUAGAUACCCGAGUAGUCCCUGUCUCUUACAC